GACGAACGCUGGCGGCGUGCCUAACACAUGCAAGUCGAACGAGAAAGUCCCUUCGGGGGCGAGUACAGUGGCGCACGGGUGAGUAACACGUGGAUAACCAACCCUCGGGUGGGGGAUAACAGUCCGAAAGGAUUGCUAAUCCCGCAUAAGACCACGGCAACUGCGGUUGCUGGGGUAAAAGGCGCUUUAUUGAGUCGCCUGAGGACGGGUCCGCGUCCCAUUAGCUAGUUGGCGGGGUAAUGGCCCACCAAGGCGAUGAUGGGUAGCUGGUCUGAGAGGAUGACCAGCCACACUGGGACUGGAACACGGCCCAGACUCCUACGGGAGGCAGCAGUGAGGAAUAUUGCACAAUGGACGAAAGUCUGAUGCAGCAACGCCGCGUGAGUGACGAAGGCCCUCGGGUUGUAAAGCUCUGGUCGGGGUGGGAAGAUGGUCGGUCCGGCUAACGGACCGGAUUGUGACGGUACCAUACGAAAGGAAGCACCGGCUAACUCCGUGCCAGCAGCCGCGGUAAUACGG
rnacentral:rRNA from 1 species